CAACUUACCAGGCAGGGGAGAUAUCAUGAUUACGAAGGUUGUUGGCCCAGGGUGAAGUUUAUCCAUUGCACACCGGAGGUGCUGACCCCUGUGAUUUCCCCCAAUGGUGGAAACUCAACUGCACAAUUUGUGGAAGUAGGGUACAGCGUUCGUGCUGUCCCCUA
rnacentral:snRNA from 1 species